GAUGAACGCUGGCGGCGUGCUUAACACAUGCAAGUCGAACGAAGCACUUUAAUCGAUUUCUUCGGAUUGAAAUUUUAGUGACUGAGUGGCGGACGGGUGAGUAACGCGUGGGUAACCUGCCUCACACAGGGGGAUAACAGUUGGAAACGGCUGCUAAUACCGCAUAAGCGCACAGUACCGCAUGGUACGGUGUGAAAAACUCCGGUGGUGUGAGAUGGACCCGCGUCUGAUUAGCUAGUUGGCAGGGCAGCGGCCUACCAAGGCGACGAUCAGUAGCCGACGUGAGAGGGUGACCGGCCACAUUGGGACUGAGACACGGCCCAAACUCCUACGGGAGGCAGCAGUGGGGAAUAUUGCACAAUGGGGGAAACCCUGAUGCAGCGACGCCGCGUGAGCGAAGAAGUAUUUCGGUAUGUAAAGCUCUAUCAGCAGGGAAGAAGAAAUGACGGUACCUGACUAAGAAGCACCGGCUAAAUACGUGCCAGCAGCCGCAGUAA
rnacentral:rRNA from 1 species